rnacentral:rRNA from 1 species
UACGUAGGGGGCAAGCGUUGUCCGGAUUUAUUGGGCGUAAAGAGCGUGUAGGCGGCCUGAAAGGUCAGCUGUGAAAACUCGAGGCUCAACCUCGAGACGUCGGUUGAAACCAUCUGGCUAGAGUCCGGAAGAGGAGUGUGGAAUUCCCGGUGUAGCGGGUGAAAUGCGCAGAUAUCGGGAAGAACACCCGUGGCGAAGGCGGCACUCUGGGACGGUACUGACGCUGAGACGCGAAAGCGUGGGGAGCGAACAGG